rnacentral:rRNA from 1 species
UUAAGCGACUAAGCGUACACGGUGGAUGCCCUGGCAGUCAGAGGCGAUGAAGGACGUGCUAAUCUGCGAAAAGCGCCGGCGAGGUGAUAUGAACCUUUGACCCGGCGAUGUCCGAAUGGGGAAACCCAGUGUGUUCCGACACACUAUCGUUAACUGAAUACAUAGGUUAACGAGGCGAACCGGGGGAACUGAAACAUCUAAGUACCCCGAGGAAAAGAAAUCAACCGAGAUUCCCCCAGUAGCGGCGAGCGAACGGGGAGCAGCCCGGAGUCUGAAUCAGCUUGUGUGUUAGUGGAACGGUCUGGAAAGUCCGACGGUACAGGGUGAUAGUCCCGUACACGAAAAUGCACAUGCUGUGAACUCGAAGAGUAGGGCGGGACACGUGGUAUCCUGUCUGAAUAUGGGGGGACCAUCCUCCAAGGCUAAAUACUCCUGACUGACCGAUAGUGAACCAGUACCGUGAGGGAAAGGCGAAAAGAACCCCGGCGAGGGGAGUGAAAAAGAACCUGAAACCGUGUACGUACAAGCAGUGGGAGCACCUUCGGGUGUGACUGCGUACCUUUUGUAUAAUGGGUCAGCGACUUAUAUUCUGUAGCAAGGUUAACCGUAUAGGGGAGCCGAAGGGAAACCGAGUCUUAACUGGGCGUUAAGUUGCAGGGUAUAGACCCGAAACCCGGUGAUCUAGCCAUGGGCAGGUUGAAGGUUGGGUAACACUAACUGGAGGACCGAACCGACUAAUGUUGAAAAAUUAGCGGAUGACCUGUGGCUGGGGGUGAAAGGCCAAUCAAACCGGGAGAUAGCUGGUUCUCCCCGAAAGCUAUUUAGGUAGCGCCUCGUGAACUCAUCUUCGGGGGUAGAGCACUGUUUCGGCUAGGGGGCCAUCCCGGCUUACCAACCCGAUGCAAACUACGAAUACCGAAGAAUGUUAUCACGGGAGACACACGGCGGGUGCUAACGUCCGUCGUGAAGAGGGAAACAACCCAGACCGCCAGCUAAGGUCCCAAAGUCAUGGUUAAGUGGGAAACGAUGUGGGAAGGCACAGACAGCCAGGAUGUUGGCUUAGAAGCAGCCAUCAUUUAAAGAAAGCGUAAUAGCUCACUGGUCGAGUCGGCCUGCGCGGAAGAUGUAACGGGGCUAAACCAUGCACCGAAGCUGCGGCAGCGACGCUUAUGCGUUGUUGGGUAGGGGAGCGUUCUGUAAGCCGUUGAAGGUGUGCUGUGAGGCAUGCUGGAGGUAUCAGAAGUGCGAAUGCUGACAUAAGUAACGAUAAAGCGGGUGAAAAGCCCGCUCGCCGGAAGACCAAGGGUUCCUGUCCAACGUUAAUCGGGGCAGGGUGAGUCGACCCCUAAGGCGAGGCCGAAAGGCGUAGUCGAUGGGAAACAGGUUAAUAUUCCUGUACUUGGUGUUACUGCGAAGGGGGGACGGAGAAGGCUAUGUCAGCCGGGCGACGGUUGUCCCGGUUUAAGCAUGUAGGCGGAGGUUCCAGGUAAAUCCGGUACCUUAUUAACGCUGAGGUGUGAUGACGAGGCACUACGGUGCUGAAGUGAUAAAUGCCCUGCUUCCAGGAAAAGCCUCUAAGCAUCAGGUAACACGAAAUCGUACCCCAAACCGACACAGGUGGUCAGGUAGAGAAUACCAAGGCGCUUGAGAGAACUCGGGUGAAGGAACUAGGCAAAAUGGUGCCGUAACUUCGGGAGAAGGCACGCUGAUAUGUAGGUGAAGCCCCUGCGGGCGGAGCUGAAAUCAGUCGAAGAUACCAGCUGGCUGCAACUGUUUAUUAAAAACACAGCACUGUGCAAACACGAAAGUGGACGUAUACGGUGUGACGCCUGCCCGGUGCCGGAAGGUUAAUUGAUGGGGUUAGCGGCAACGCGAAGCUCUUGAUCGAAGCCCCGGUAAACGGCGGCCGUAACUAUAACGGUCCUAAGGUAGCGAAAUUCCUUGUCGGGUAAGUUCCGACCUGCACGAAUGGCGUAAUGAUGGCCAGGCUGUCUCCACCCGAGACUCAGUGAAAUUGAACUCGCUGUGAAGAUGCAGUGUACCCGCGGCAAGACGGAAAGACCCCGUGAACCUUUACUAUAGCUUGACACUGAACACUGGUCCUUGAUGUGUAGGAUAGGUGGGAGGCUUUGAAGCGUGGACGCCAGUCUGCGUGGAGCCGUCCUUGAAAUACCACCCUUUAAUGGCUGGUGUUCUAACGUAGACCCGUGAUCCGGGUUGCGGACAGUGUCUGGUGGGUAGUUUGACUGGGGCGGUCUCCUCCCAAAGAGUAACGGAGGAGCACGAAGGUUGGCUAAUCCUGGUCGGACAUCAGGAGGUUAGUGCAAUGGCAUAAGCCAGCUUGACUGCGAGCGUGACGGCGCGAGCAGGUGCGAAAGCAGGUCAUAGUGAUCCGGUGGUUCUGAAUGGAAGGGCCAUCGCUCAACGGAUAAAAGGUACUCCGGGGAUAACAGGCUGAUACCGCCCAAGAGUUCAUAUCGACGGCGGUGUUUGGCACCUCGAUGUCGGCUCAUCACAUCCUGGGGCUGAAGUAGGUCCCAAGGGUAUGGCUGUUCGCCAUUUAAAGUGGUACGCGAGCUGGGUUUAGAACGUCGUGAGACAGUUCGGUCCCUAUCUGCCGUGGGCGCUGGAGAAUUGAGGGGGGCUGCUCCUAGUACGAGAGGACCGGAGUGGACGCAUCACUGGUGUUCGGGUUGUCAUGCCAAUGGCACUGCCCGGUAGCUAAAUGCGGAAGAGAUAAGUGCUGAAAGCAUCUAAGCACGAAACUUGCCCCGAGAUGAGUUCUCCCUGAGACCUUGAGUCUCCUGAAGGAACGUUGAAGACGACGACGUUGAUAGGUCGGGUGUGUAAGCGCAGCGAUGCGUUGAGCUAACCGAUACUAAUGAACCGUGAGGCUUAACCUU